CAUGAGACAUGCAAGUUCGAACGGACGAUCAGGGCCUGCUCUGAUCGUUAGUGGCGGACGGCUGAGUAACGCGUAGGUGACCUGCCCCGAAGUGGGGAAUAACUGCCCGAAAGGGUGGCUAAUACCGCAUGUGGUGGUUCGUUCAAUCGUUCCAUCAAAGCCGUAAGGCGCUUCGGGAGGGGCCUGCGUCCGAUUAGCUCGUUGGUGGGGUAACGGCUCACCAAGGCGACGAUCGGUAGGUGGUCUGAGAGGACGAUCACCCAGACUGGGACUGAGACACGGCCCAGACUCCUACGGGAGGCAGCAGUCGGGAAUUUUGCGCAAUGGACGAAAGUCUGACGCAGCAACGCCGCGUGAGGGAUGAAGGCCUUCGGGUUGUAAACCUCUUUUGCCAGGGACGAUAAUGACGGUACCUGGUGAAUAAGUCACGGCUAACUACGUGCCAGCAGCCGCGGUAAUACGUAGGUGACUAGCGUUGUCCGGAUUUACUGGGCGUAAAGAGCGCGCAGGCGGUCGUUCAAGUCGAGUGUGAAAGCCCCCGGCUCAACUGGGGAGGGUCACUCGAUACUGAUCGACUC
rnacentral:rRNA from 1 species